UACGAAGGGGGCUAGCGUUGCUCGGAAUCACUGGGCGUAAAGCGCACGUAGGCGGAUUGUUAAGUCAGGUGUGAAAGCCUGGAGCUCAACUCCAGAACUGCCCUUGAUACUGGCAAUCUCGAGUCCGGAAGAGGUAAGUGGAACUCCGAGUGUAGAGGUGAAAUUCGUAGAUAUUCGGAAGAACACCAGUGGCGAAGGCGGCUUACUGGUCCGGUACUGACGCUGAGGUGCGAAAGCGUGGGGAGCAAACAGG
rnacentral:rRNA from 1 species